rnacentral:rRNA from 1 species
UGGGGAAUUUUGCACAAUGGGGGAAACCCUGAUGCAGCGACGCCGCGUGAUUUAGAAGGGCUUCGGGUUGUAAAAAUCUUUUCUAUGGGAAGAAAAUGACAGUACCAUAGGAAUAAGGACCGGCUAAUUACGUGCCAGCAGCCGCGGUAAUACGUAAGGUCCGAGCGUUGUCCGGAAUCAUUGGGCGUAAAGGGUACGUAGGCGGGUAAGCAAGUUAGAAGUGAAAUCCUGUAGCUCAACUACAGUAAGCUUUUAAAACUGCUCAUCUUGAGAUAUGGAAGGGAAAGUGGAAUUCCUAGUGUAGCGGUGAAAUGCGCAGAUAUUAGGAGGAAUACCGGUGGCGAAGGCGACUUUCUGGCCAUAAUCUGACGCUGAGGUACGAAAGCGUGGGUAGCAAACAGG